rnacentral:tRNA from 1 species
UCCCUGGUAGUAUAUCGGCUAGUACACGCGCCUGUCAUGUUUCUGGCCGCGCGAAAGCGGGGUUCGACUCCCCGCCAGGGAG